rnacentral:rRNA from 1 species
CCUACGGGAGGCAGCAGUGAGGAAUAUUGGUCAAUGGACGCAAGUCUGAACCAGCCAAGUAGCGUGCAGGAUGACGGCCCUCCGGGUUGUAAACUGCUUUUAGUUGGGAAUAAAAGGGGGCUCGUGAGCCCCGUAUUAUAUGUACCGUCGGAAAAAGGACCGGCUACUUCCGUGCCAGCUGCCGCGGUAAUCCGGAGGUUCCGGGCGUUAUCCGGAUUUAUUGGGUUUAAAGGUAGCGUAGGCCGACUUUUAAGUCAGCGGUAAAAGUCCGGGGCUCAACCGUGAAGUGCAGUUGAAACUGGAGGCAUGGAGUGCACACAGGGAGGCCGGAAUGCAUGGUGUAGCGGUGAAAUGCUUAGAUAUCAUGAAGAACUCCGAUAGCGAAGGCAAGUGUCCGGGGUGCAACUGACGCUGAGGCUCGAAAGUGCGGGUAUCAAACAGGAUUAGAUACCCCUGUAGUC